AGGGCACCACCAGGAGUGGAGCCUGCGGCUUAAUUUGACUCAACACGGGAAAACUCACCCGGCCAGGACACCGUAAGGAUUGACAGACUGAGAGCUCUUUCUUGAUUCGGUGGGUGGUGGUGCAUGGCCGUUCUUAGUUGGUGGAGUGAUUUGUCUGGUUAAUUCCGAUAACGAACGAGACUCUAGCCUGCUAAAUAGACGGGCGAUCCCGUUGUGGGUCGACCCGAUUUGCUUCUUAGAGGGACAAGUGGCGUUCCUAGCCACGCGAAAUUGAGCAAUAACAGGUCCGUGAUGCCCUUAGAUGUCCGGGGCCGCACGCGCGCUACAAUGAGGGACGCAGUGUGCCCGCAAAGCCUGACCCGAAAGGGUUGGGUAAUCAUUUCAAUUUUCCUCCUAAUUAGGAUUGAAGAUUGUAACUUUUGCUCAUGGAACAAGAAUUCCCUGUAAGCGCGGGGUCUUAGCUUGCGUUUACUACCUUCCUGCCCCUUGUACCACACGGCCCGUCGCUACAACCGAUUG
rnacentral:rRNA from 1 species